GCAGGUGUAUUCCAGAGAGUAAAUCUCCAAACAUCUUUGCUGCAUUGACGCUGAGCUGUCAGGGGACUCAGGCUUAUGAGGAGGUAUUGUCACACAAAACAGUGUCUAGUGGAGACAACAAGAAAGAGAGGAAAGGAUCGGAGAAAGAAGUUAAAAUACUAUAGAAAACCAUGAGAUCCAUUCGAUCUUUUGCCAAUGAUGAUCGCCACGUUAUGGUGAAACAUUCAACAAUCUAUCCAUCUCCAGAGGAACUUGAAGCUGUUCAGAAUAUGGUGUCUACUGUUGAAUGUGCUCUUAAGCAUGUAUCAGAUUGGUUGGAUGAAGCAAAUAAAGGCAUGAAAACAGAGAGUGAGACAGAAGUGAAGAAAGAUGAGGCUGGAGAAAACUAUUCCAAGGAUCAAGGUGGUCGGACAUUGUGUGGUGUAAUGAGGAUUGGCCUGGUUGCAAAAGGUUUGCUGAUUAAAGAUGAUAUGGACUUGGAGCUGGUUUUAAUGUGCAAAGACAAACCCACAGAGACCCUGUUAAAUACAGUCAAAGAUAAUCUUCCUAUUCAGAUUCAGAAACUCACAGAAGAAAAAUAUGAAGUGGAACAAUGUGUAAAUGAGGCAUCAAUUAUAAUUCGGAAUACAAAAGAACCCACACUAACUUUGAAGGUGAUACUUACUUCCCCUUUAAUUAGGGACGAAUUGGAGAAGAAGGAUGGAGAAAAUGUUUCGAUGAAAGAUCCACCGGACUUAUUGGACAGGCAGAAAUGCCUGAAUGCCUUGGCGUCUCUUCGACAUGCCAAAUGGUUUCAGGCAAGGGCAAAUGGAUUAAAAUCAUGUGUAAUUGUCCUCCGCAUUCUGCGUGAUUUGUGCAACAGAGUCCCCACAUGGGCACCAUUAAAAGGAUGGCCACUAGAACUUAUAUGUGAAAAGUCUAUAGGUACUUGUAAUAGACCUUUGGGCGCUGGGGAGGCCUUGAGACGAGUAAUGGAGUGUUUGGCAUCUGGAAUACUACUUCCUGGAGGUCCUGGUCUUCAUGAUCCUUGUGAACGAGACCCAACAGAUGCUCUAAACUAUAUGACCAUCCAGCAAAAAGAAGAUAUUACUCACAGUGCACAGCAUGCACUCAGACUAUCUGCCUUUGGCCAGAUUUACAAAGUACUGGAGAUGGACCCCCUUCCAUCUAGUAAACCUUUUCAGAAGUAUUCCUGGUCAGUUACUGAUAAAGAAGGUGCUGGGUCUUCAUCUCUAAAGAGGCCAUUUGAAGAUGGAUUAGGCGAUGAUAAAGACCCCAAUAAGAAGAUGAAACGAAACUUAAGGAAAAUUCUGGAUAGUAAAGCAAUAGACCUUAUGAAUGCACUAAUGAGGCUAAAUCAGAUCCGGCCUGGGCUUCAGUAUAAGCUCUUAUCUCAGUCUGGCCCUGUUCAUGCCCCAGUCUUCACAAUGUCUGUAGAUGUGGAUGGUACAACAUAUGAAGCCUCAGGACCAUCCAAGAAAACAGCAAAACUUCACGUGGCAGUGAAGGUAUUGCAAGCGAUGGGAUAUCCAACAGGCUUUGAUGCAGAUAUUGAAUGUAUGAGUUCCGAUGAAAAAUCAGAUAAUGAAAGCAAAAAUGAAGCGGUGUCUUCAAACUCAAGCAAUAAUACUGGAAAUUCUACAACUGAAACCUCCAGCACCUUAGAGGUAAGAACUCAGGGCCCUAUACUCACAGCAAGUGGCAAAAACCCUGUAAUGGAGCUCAAUGAAAAAAGAAGAGGUCUCAAGUAUGAAUUAAUCUCAGAAACUGGUGGAAGUCAUGACAAGCGCUUUGUAAUGGAGGUAGAAGUAGAUGGACAGAAAUUCAGAGGCGCAGGUCCAAAUAAGAAAGUGGCAAAGGCAAGUGCAGCUUUAGCUGCCCUGGAGAAGCUGUUUUCUGGACCCAAUGCAGCAAAUAACAAGAAAAAGAAGAUUAUCCCUCAGGCAAAGGGUGUUGUAAAUACAGCUGUGUCCGCAGCAGUCCAAGCUGUUCGAGGCAGAGGAAGAGGAACUCUAACAAGGGGAGCUUUUGUUGGGGCGACAGCUGCUCCUGGCUACAUAGCUCCAGGCUAUGGAACACCAUAUGGUUACAGCACAGCUGCCCCUGCCUAUGGUUAAUACUUUUAAGCAGUUUUCAGCACGUUUAUCUCACUUUAUUCUCGUUCUCCUCGGACCUUCGUAGCCAUAUCACUUGUAUAAAAUAGGCUGAGAUAUAGUGACUGUAAGCUGUGAUCUCAGUAUACAAAGCUCUCUUAACAUGGGAUCUGCCAUAGCUGUUGGAGAUUCUUGGCUACUAUUCCUGGCCUUUCCUGGAGAGGGAGACUCAUUCAGAAACCCUGUCGGAGAGCCAAAUUGUAGGCAUCCUCAAGGCCCGACUGGGGUCUUCACUGUGUCUCCCAGGAAUCCAGCGUGGCUCCAGCUCUCUGGUGAGCUGUCUCCAGCUCCACAUGGACUUCCUUUCCAGCAUAUCAAGGCUUAUGUAGGCAAAGUGAAAGCCGAUCCAGGUGGUAGUCCCCUGCUGCUGUUGCUUCCUUGGGCAAACAUCAUGUACUUUAGCCCCCCCCCCCCCCCGCAGUAUUUAUCUUGUUUUUCUCAAAGCAUCUUUGAACUCAGGCCUUUCACCCUGUACCUAUCUGUUUGGCCUGUUGUGCUAAGCCUCUGGUCUAAGUGGCUGGUUGGGCCCAGCCACUUCUUUAGAGGAAGUCUCCUGAAGUAGCCGUAAUUAGAGUGAGUACACUUCCAGGAACAAUGGAGCUAAAGGGCCUGGUCCCAAGGAUGCUUUGGCAGAGGGCUCUGAGAAGGGGCUGGCUUGGGACCAGGCUCAGACCCUUAGCCCCAUGUCUUUGCAUCCUGGUCUACCUGCCAUGUAGUGUUCUUGGAGGACUUGCUUCUCACCUGCUCCAGGCAGAACUCUGGGAAGGAGGUGGGAGGUGUAACCAGUCUAGACCUGAAAUCCUAUUCAGCAAGGGGCUUCACUCCCACUAAGGAGUAAGGGCCCUGCUCAGCCUCAGCCCUUCCUUGGCCCCAGGAUGGAGGUGUACGAGUCAAGGAAAAGACUGAGCAGUCAUGGUUAGAAAACCUUUCCCUACUGUACGGUUGCACACAUGACACUGGACUCCUGGCUGUAGCUCACUUAGGUCUGGUGAUGGCCAAGUUCGUUUUUAGAAAUCUGUUUAACUUGUCAUGUAUCUACUUACUGUGUUUUUCUGAAUACUCCAGUGUAAAUAGUCUAAUUUGCAGUGCAAAGUCCUUGGCAAUAACUUUGUGUAUUAUGUCAAAAAACGCUGGAAACCACGACCACCAUGGAUUGUCCUUCCCCUCUGGGGCUAUUACUACAUGUAGGACUCUGAACCUUGAACCUUCGGCGUGGUUGAAGCAGCAGCCUACAUGUGUGGACUGUCAUCAGUGCCUCGCCCAGAGAUGCCUGGCCUUCAUCCAAAGGGACCCUGCUGCCCCGACUCCCGCAGGCAGCGCCCACACUGUGGCUCCUUUGCACUGAGUAUGUUGGACUCUGCCAUAGACUGACCCUCUUGUCUGGCUACUGCAGUUUGUCUGUAAUGCCCUGACAUGUUGCAUAUUCCCCAUCUGAAUAAAAAUAAAUGCUUCUGUCUUAAACAGUAA